AGAGUUUGAUCAUGGCUCAGGAUGAACGCUGGCGGUCUGCUUAACACAUGCAAGUCGAACGGAAAGUCUUCGGACUUUUAGUGGCGGACGGGUGAGUAACGCGUGAGAAUCUGCCCUUUGGAGUGGGACAACGACUGGAAACGGUCGCUAAUACCGCAUGAGCCGAGAGGUAAAAGAUUAAUUGCCAAAGGAUGAGCUCGCGUCUGAUUAGCUAGUUGGUGGUGUAACGGACCACCAAGGCUGUGAUCAGUAGGGGUUCUGAGAGGAAGAUCCCCCACACUGGCACUGAGAUACGGGCCAGACUCCUACGGGAGGCAGCAGUAGGGAAUAUUGGGCAAUGGCGGAAACGCUGACCCAGCCAUGCCGCGUGCAGGAAGAAGGCGCUCAGCGUUGUAAACUGCUUUUGCCGGGGAAGAACGACUCUUACGCGUAAGGGGAAUGACGGUACCUGGUGAAUAAGCCCCGGCUAACUACGUGCCAGCAGCCGCGGUAAUACGUAGGGGGCGAGCGUUGUCCGAAGUUACUGGGCGUAAAGCGCGCGUAGGCGGUUGCCUAAGUCUGGGGUGAAAGGUUCAGGGCUUAACCCGAACAGUGCCUUGGAUACUGGGCGACUUGAGUGCCGAAGAGGAAAGCGGAAUUCCUGGUGUAGCGGUGAAAUGCGUAGAUAUCAGGAGGAACACCGAUGGCGAAGGCAGCUUUCUGGUCGGCAACUGACGCUGAGGUGCGAAAGCGUGGGGAGCGAACGGGAUUAGAUACCCCCGUAGUCC
rnacentral:rRNA from 1 species